UUGUAAAGGGUGUAUGGCUCUUUAAACGACCUCUUCGGUUUCGUGUCCUGUAUGUUCAAUGUCAUACAAGCCUUACCAAUCCUUCGCAUCGUAGUAGCUCUGAAAAUGGGUACAUCUGCCUUCGCCUCAAUUAGAUUGAUAAACCUGGGCCAGUCGGGAAACACUUCCGUCUCUAGCCCCGCCCCGGCCCGAAUCUACCAGGGGUUCCCUUUCCAUCCCCGCCCACUUUUGCAGACGAAUCACAUCUAAUUGGAUAUGUGUUUUGAGGACACGCCCACAGCACUCCUUUUCAAUGAAUGGCAAAUAUAUUGAGACGUUGCCUUUCCAAAUAUGGAUGCCUUCGGAUACACGCAAGGGGUGUAAUAAAGCAAUAUAAAGUCACGGA